AGUGGCGGACGGGUGAGUAACGCGUGAGAAUCUGCCUUGGGGUCGGGGACAACCACUGGAAACGGUGGCUAAUACCGGAUAAGCCGAUUGGUGAAAGAUUUAUUGCCCGAAGAGGAGCUCGCGUCUGAUUAGCUAGUUGGUGAGGUAAGAGCUCACCAAGGCAGCGAUCAGUAGCUGGUCUGAGAGGACGAUCAGCCACACUGGGACUGAGACACGGCCCAGACUCCUACGGGAGGCAGCAGUGGGGAAUUUUCCGCAAUGGGCGAAAGCCUGACGGAGCAAGACCGCGUGAGGGAGGAAGUCUCUUGGGUUGUAAACCUCUUUUCUCAGGGAAGAAGCUCUGACGGUACCUGAGGAAUCAGCCUCGGCUAACUCCGUGCCAGCAGCCGCGGUAAUACGGAGGAGGCAAGCGUUAUCCGGAAUUAUUGGGCGUAAAGCGUCCGCAGGUGGCAAUUCAAGUCUGCUGUCAAAGCACGGGGCUUAACUCCGUUAAGGCAGUGGAAACUGAAUAGCUAGAGUGCCGUAGGGGUAGAGGGAAUUCCCGGUGUAGCGGUGAAAUGCGUAGAGAUCGGGAAGAACAUCGGUGGCGAAAGCGCUCUACUGGACGGCAACUGACACUCAGGGACGAAAGCUAGGGGAGCGAAUGGGAUUAGAUACCCC
rnacentral:rRNA from 1 species